rnacentral:piRNA from 1 species
UCAAGAUGAAAGGUGUGACCCUGUUGUG